rnacentral:rRNA from 1 species
UACGUAGGGGGCAAGCGUUAUCCGGAUUUACUGGGUGUAAAGGGAGCGUAGACGGCCAGACAAGUCUGAGGUGAAAAUCCAGCGCUUAACGUUGGAAGUGCUUUGGAAACUGCCGGGCUAGAGUGCAGGAGGGGCAGGCGGAAUUCCUAGUGUAGCGGUGAAAUGCGUAGAUAUUAGGAGGAACACCAGUGGCGAAGGCGGCCUGCUGGACUGCAACUGACGUUGAGGCUCGAAGGCGUGGGGAGCAAACAGG